CUGGCGGCGUGCCUACACAUGCAAGUCGAGCGAUUUACUUCGGUAAAGAGCGGCGGACGGGUGAGUAACGCGUGGGUAACCUGCCUCAUACACAUGGAUAACAUACCGAAAGGUAUGCUAAUACAGGAUAAUAUAAGAGAUUCACAUGGAUUUCUUAUCAAAGCUCCGGCGGUAUGAGAUGGACCCGCGUCUGAUUAGCUAGUUGGUAAGGUAAUGGCUUACCAAGGCGACGAUCAGUAGCCGACCUGAGAGGGUGAUCGGCCACAUUGGAACUGAGACACGGUCCAAACUCCUACGGGAGGCAGCAGUGGGGAAUAUUGCACAAUGGGCGAAAGCCUGAUGCAGCAACGCCGCGUGAGUGAUGAAGGCCUUCGGGUCGUAAAACUCUGUCCUCAAGGAAGAUAAUGACGGUACUUGAGGAGGAAGCCCCGGCUAACUACGUGCCAGCAGCCGCGGUAAUACGUAGGGGGCUAGCGUUAUCCGGAUUUACUGGGCGUAAAGGGUGCGUAGGUGGUUUUUUAAGUCAGGAGUGAAAGGCUACGGCUCAACCGUAGUAAGCUCUUGAAACUGGGAAACUUGAGUGCAGGAGAGGAAAGUGGAAUUCCUAGUGUAGCGGUGAAAUGCGUAGAUAUUAGGAGGAAC
rnacentral:rRNA from 1 species